GAAAAUUUGGGGUUAGAAUUUGGGAUUUUGGGUUCUGAAAAGGAUUUGGGGAAAGAAAAGGAAAAUUUGGGGUUCUGGGAGGGGAUUUGGGGGAAGAAAAGGAGAAUUUGGGGUUCUGGGAAGGAUUUGGGGAAAGAAAAGGAGAAUUUGGGGUGGGGAUUGGAGUGAAAGGAUAAUUUGGGUGGGAUUUUGAGGGAGAAAUGAAGGAUUUGGGGCUAAAAAAGGAAUUUUGGGGGGGAAUAGAAGGGAUUUGGGGGCGGGAAUUGAGAAUUUUGGGGAGAAAAUUAAAAUUUUGGGGCAAAAUUGAGAAUUUUGGAGUAGGAAUUGAGAAUUUUUGGGUGGGAAUUGAGGAUUUUGGGGUAAAAUAGAGAAUUUUGGGGCGGGAAUUGAGGAUUUUGAGGAGAAAUUGAGGAUUUUGUGGUGGGAAUUGAGAAUUUUGGGGCGGGAGUUCAUGAUUUUGGGGGAAAAAAUGAGAAUUUUAGGGUAAAAUUGAGAAUUUUGGGGUGGGAAUUGAAGAUUUUGAGUGGAAAUUGAGAAUUUUGGGGCAGAAAUUGAGGAUUUUGAGUGGAAAUUGAGGAUUUUGAGGCAGAAAUUUCAAAUUUUAUGGCGGAAAAUUCGAAUUUUCGUGUGGGAAUUCCCGAUUUGAGAGGCUCAAGUGUCGAAUUUAUGGCCCAAAAAUGACCCGAAAAAACCCCGAAAUUGGGUAAAUUGGGGCCGGGCUGGAAUUGGGGUGAAACCCCCCGAUUUUGGGUCCCCCAGCCCCAUUUUUCCUGCCAGGCCCGGCCGUGCCAUGGAGGAGGAGGAGGAGAAACCCCCCCGGGGGGGGGAGGAGCCGCGAGAGCAGCGGGAGGGACCCGGCCAGGGGCUACUGAAAGCUCUGCAGCGCCUCCUGAGCGGCGCCGGCACCUGGGGACAAGACCCCCCCCACAAGCCCCCCCGGCUGCAGCGCUGGUGCUGGGGAGCCCGGCCCGAGGGCGGCACGGUUUGGGAGCCCGUGGGGGGCCCGGGGGGGGCCCUGGAGCAGCUGCAGCUCAGCAGCGGGGAGGGGUCCCCCGAAGACGAGGAGCUGGAGUUGGUGGCCGAGGUCCGCGUGGCCGAUUUGGGGGGGCUGGCGGCCGCCUCGGGGCUCCUGCGCCGGGAGCGGCCCUGGAGAGCCCCCAAAGGAGGUCAGGGGGUCGGGGGGGGGAUUUGGGGGGAUUUGGGGGGAUUUGGGGGCAUUUUGGGGGGUUUUGGGAGGAUUUUGGGUGCAUUUCCGGGGGUUUUCAGGAGGGUUUGGGUGGAUUUGGGGGUGUUUGGGAUGGAUUUUGGGGGGGUUUGGGAUGGAUUUUGG
rnacentral:lncRNA from 1 species